GGCGUCCAAGUCGAAGCACCUGCACCGGUGCUGCCACAGCCCAGCAUCGGCCAAUCUCCGGCUUCCACCUCAGAAGCUGCGGCGGCCGCCGUCGCCACGGCUGCUCCGGUCGCAGAGCAGGAAGCCCGGGAAAAGUCACCACAGGCGGCUGGCUCAGGUAAUGAAUUCCCUCUUGUGAGGAAAAGAAAAGCGGAGAGAUGUUCGAUGAGGCCCUCUCAUCUCGAGCUAAAAGAAUGGAUCCGAUCGGGGGCGAACCUGUGGGGCUGUGCUCGUGGUGGUCGAUCGAUCGAUGAACUGUGGGUGCUCUUCCUUGCAGAUCUGCCCAUCGCGAGGAGGGUCUCGCU
rnacentral:lncRNA from 1 species